AUUGAACGCUGGCGGCAGGCCUAACACAUGCAAGUCGAGCGAGCGGCGGACGGGUGAGUAAUGUAUGGGGACUGCCCGAUAGAGGGGGAUAACUACUGGAAACGGUGGCUAAUACCGCAUACCAUCGGAUAACCCAUCUGGGAUUAGCUAGUUGGUGGGGUAAAGGCUCACCUAGGCGACGAUCUCUAGCUGGUCUGAGAGGAUGACCAGCCACACUGGGAUGGAAACACUGCCCAGACUCCUACGGAGGCAGCAGUGGGGAAUAUUGCGCAAUGGGGGCAAUCCUGAUGCAGCCCUGCGGCGUGUAUGAAGAAGGCCUUAGGGUUGUAAAGUACUUUCGGUGGGGAGGCGUUACCCGCAGAAGAAGCACCGGCUAACUCCGUGCCAGCAGCCGCGGUAAUUC
rnacentral:rRNA from 1 species